rnacentral:ncRNA from 1 species
UACUUUCGCGUUGCAUUUGGUUUUUAACAUACGUUUCACAAUGUUAAAAUUAAUAGGGAAUCAGGUGAAAAUCCUGAACAGACCCGCUACUGUAAGUUCUAUUACAACACUUUGACAUCUUCUUGCCACUGUUUUUAGUGAAUAAAAAUGGGAAGGCGCGUUCAAAGUGAGAACAAGUCAGGAGACCUGCCACUGCAAACAAUUUUAA